UGGGCCCACAGUCUACUCACCAAGGCUGCACUAAAUGUCCAACCUGUCAGCAGCAUUGACUAAUGCUAAUCCCUUUGUACAGGAUCAUCUCUCAAGGACACCAACAAUCUACUUGGUGGGAUAAGUUUCCUCCAUUGGACCCCUUCUGUAUUGGAAGAAACAAAGAAUGCAUUUUGACUUGACAACACAUAUUCCGGUGGCAAGAUUAAGAGAUUUUUAACAUCAGCAGAAAUGGAGGCACCCGAGCUAAGUCAAUCUCUGUAAUAGAAAAGGGCUCAAGGAAAGUUUCCUGCAAUACUAGCUGAAAUGGGUCACCAGUUUCUCCUCGUGGGAGGCAACCCAAGACUCUGAUUGCGCUGAGUAAAGCUGGUCAGCUAUUUUACAAGGAAAACACCUGGCACCGAAUCCUGGGCUCUUUAGAGAACUGCUAGCUAAGCCUCUUCCCUGGGGUAAAUUCAGCGAGAAGCGCUGUGAGUCUGAGCUUGCCAGGAUCGUGUGGGCCACACCCAGCAGUUAAUAAGUUGUUCCGAACUCUACGUGCCCCAUCUUAAUAGCUAGUUCUCCUCCCAAUUUGUAGGUUCCCAUAAUCAUGUGGCUACUCAAAUGAGCACAGAGGAAACCACUAACAAUUUGGAGACGAGACAGAGUCCAGAAAAGGAAGAAAAGUCCUGAAAAUAUAAAUUUAGCUUGAGGUGUUCCAUGAACACGAGACAGAGAGCUAGAAUUAGGGUUUGUUCUAAAUUUCAAAAUCGACAAAACAGUGGCUUCUCUGAAAGCAGAGUCAUUUGGAUAAGGAACUCAGUCAAGCUGGCGUCUUCAUGAGUGCAAGGGAACUGAUCAAAGAAUGCAAAACUUCUGAGACUCUUUGGUCCAUCUGGUGACAACUGGUCAGAACAGUUUGCCAUGACAGCCACCUGAGAAAAGCAUUCUGCAAGUGGCUAGGGAAACUAAAGCUUUCUCUUCCCCAAAAUGAUAGUUUCGAGCACUAGCGUUUAACUUAGAACCAGCCCAGCAGUCAGCAGGAAAGAAUAUAAGUAUGGAGAGGGAAGCAGGAGACAGACGAUGUGAAACUUUGAAGUCUGGGAUUUCUUCUAAGCCAAGUUAAAUGAUAUUGCAGAGUUUUAAGCAGGAAAAUUGACAUCAUAUCAAUUACGCUAAUAAAAGGUCGCUCUCUCUGGUUUCGAUGUGGAGAAUGGACAGUUUGCAGGAACUUGAGAGCAGAAGCAAGAAGAGUUGCUGGAACAAAAGCUAGAUGCUAGUGGUUUGGACCAAGGGGUGACAACAGAGAUCUAGGGAAGUGAAGAGAUUCCAAAGGUAUUUAGGAUCAGAGUCUAUAGGGCAGGCUGAUAGAACAGAACGUGUGGAAGGGGAGCAGAAAGGGAGGAGUCAAGAAUUACUUGUAGAUCGAAAGGAAGACUGCAGCACCCGGACUUUUUGUUGCAAUGGGCAAAGCCAGUGUCCACCUUGUAGAAAAUCUAGUCUGCAUUUGCCCCUUCACUCCUACAAGCUCGGGCUAUCCAGUCCAACUAAGUCAAUGCUAUAUAUUUGUUCUAAAUCUUUGCCAAUAUGAGAAAUGAAAAUGGCAUCUUGUUAUAUUUUUUAAAUUAAUAGUGAGGUAAACCACUUGUUCAUGUGUUUGUUGGCCAUUUGUGUUUCUUAUGUGUGUUAAUUGUCUGUUCUUUCUAUCCAUCU
rnacentral:lncRNA from 1 species